UGGGGAAUAUUGCGCAAUGGGGGAAACCCUGACGCAGCAACGCCGCGUGAAGGAUGAAGGCUCUCGGGUUGUAAACUUCUUUGAUCAGGGACGAAAAAAAUGACGGUACCUGAAGAACAAGCCACGGCUAACUACGUGCCAGCAGCCGCGGUAAUACGUAGGUGGCAAGCGUUGUCCGGAUUUACUGGGUGUAAAGGGCGUGUAGGCGGGGAUGUAAGUCAGAUGUGAAAUUCCGAAGCUCAACUUCGGCGCUGCAUCUGAGACUAUAUCUCUUGAGUGCUGGAGAGGAAAGCGGAAUUCCUAGUGUAGCGGUGAAAUGCGUAGAUAUUAGGAGGAACACCAGUGGCGAAGGCGGCUUUCUGGACAGUAACUGACGCUGAGGCGCGAAAGCGUGGGGAGCAAACAGG
rnacentral:rRNA from 1 species